rnacentral:misc_RNA from 1 species
GAAAUGCGAUAAGUAGUGUGAAUUGCAGAAUUCAGUUAAUCAUCGAAUCUUUGAACGCACAUUGCGCCCCUUGGUAUUCCAUGGGGCAUGCCUGUUCGAGCGUCAUUUGUACCUUCAAGCUUUGCUUGGUGUUGGGUGUUUGUCUCGCCUCUGCGUGUAGACUCGCCUCAAAACAAUUGGCAGCCGGCGUAUUGAUUUCGGAGCGCAGUACAUCUCGCGCUUUGCACUCAUAACGACGACGUCCAAAAGUACAUUUUUACACUCUUGACCUCGGAUCAGGUAGGGAUACCCGCUGAACUUAAGC